rnacentral:rRNA from 1 species
CCUACGGGAGGCAGCAGUGAGGAAUAUUGGUCAAUGGACGAGAGUCUGAACCAGCCAAGUAGCGUGAAGGAUGACUGCCCUAUGGGUUGUAAACUUCUUUUAUAUGGGAAUAAAAUGUUCCACGUGUGGGAUUUUGUAUGUACCAUAUGAAUAAGGAUCGGCUAACUCCGUGCCAGCAGCCGCGGUAAUACGGAGGAUCCGAGCGUUAUCCGGAUUUAUUGGGUUUAAAGGGAGCGUAGGUGGAUUGUUAAGUCAGUUGUGAAAGUUUGCGGCUCAACCGUAACAUUGCAGUUGAAACUGGCAGUCUUGAGUACAGUAGAGGUGGGCGGAAUUCGUGGUGUAGCGGUGAAAUGCUUAGAUAUCACGAAGAACUCCGAUUGCGAAGGCAGUUCACUGGACUGCAACUGACACUGAGGCUCGAAAGUGUGGGUAUCAAACAGGAUUAGAUACCCGAGUAGUC